UGGAAUGUAGUUUAAUUUUAAAACUUCAGUUUUGUAAACUGAGAAUAUAAUAUUUAUUUCAA
rnacentral:tRNA from 1 species